rnacentral:rRNA from 1 species
GAUGAACGCUGGCGGCGUGCUUAACACAUGCAAGUCGAACGGAAAGGCCCAAGCUUGCUUGGGUACUCGAGUGGCGAACGGGUGAGUAACACGUGGGUGAUCUGCCCUGCACUUCGGGAUAAGCCUGGGAAACUGGGUCUAAUACCGGAUAGGACGAUGGUUUGGAUGCCAUUGUGGAAAGUUUUUUCGGUGUGGGAUGAGCUCGCGGCCUAUCAGCUUGUUGGUGGGGUAAUGGCCUACCAAGGCGUCGACGGGUAGCCGGCCUGAGAGGGUGUACGGCCACAUUGGGACUGAGAUACGGCCCAGACUCCUACGGGAGGCAGCAGUGGGGAAUAUUGCACAAUGGGCGCAAGCCUGAUGCAGCGACGCCGCGUGGGGGAUGACGGCCUUCGGGUUGUAAACUCCUUUCGCUAGGGACGAAGCGUUUUUGUGACGGUACCUGGAGAAGAAGCACCGGCUAACUACGCG